CACUCAAUCCCAGCGCUCUUUGUGUGUGAGAGCUCACACACUCUCUCACAUAUAUGCAACUCUCUGAUUAAAGUGAGUGAAGCCGCAAGGACACAGACUAAGACUUGGAAAAUGAACCUCUUCUGCUUUACUUUGGAUGGUUCUACAGACAGCCUGUACGAGGCGGCUCAGAUUGGCCAGAACACUCAAGAUUUAUUACCCAGAAGGCUGCCCAGUCCCAACCCUGUGAAGAACAUUAGUGUGUGGAGUGGAUCUGAGCCCUGCAUCAACAUGAAGCUUCCAGAGACUCCCACAAGUAAGACUCAAGAAAAUAAGAUUUUGGAAAAGGCAAAGAGAAAGU